rnacentral:rRNA from 1 species
GACGAACGCUGGCGGCGUGCUUAACACAUGCAAGUCGAACGGAAAGGCCCUGCUUUUGUGGGGUGCUCGAGUGGCGAACGGGUGAGUAACACGUGAGUAACCUGCCCUUGACUUUGGGAUAACUUCAGGAAACUGGGGCGAAUACCGGAUAGGAGCUCCUGCUGCAUGGGGGGGGUGGGAAAGGGUCGGCGGUUGGGGAUGGACGCGCGGCUUAUCAGCUUGUUGGUGGGGUAGUGGCUUACCAAGGCUUUGACGGGUAGCCGGCCUGAGAGGGUGACCGGCCACAUUGGGACUGAGAUACGGCCCAGACUCCUACGGGAGGCAGCAGUGGGGAAUAUUGCACAAUGGGCGGAAGCCUGAUGCAGCGACGCCGCGUGCGGGAUGACGGCCUUCGGGUUGUAAACCGCUUUCGCCUGUGACGAAGCGUGAGUGACGGUAAUGGGUAAAGAAGCACCGGCUAACUACGUG